ensembl:lncRNA
GUCAAGGUUGAUCAAUGUUGCCUGCUUCACAGACUGAAGCCUAAUGGGUCUGAGCCACAACAAAUGCAACAUAGGCACAAAGAGAUGCAAUUCAGAACAUUUCCCAGAAAUAAACUGUUCCUUGCAUCCUCUUCCUCACAACUUUCCAAAAAUUCACACCUUCUGAAAGAGAUCUCUGCUAUCAGUGUUCUUACAAGACCCCACUGCCACCUUUGGGAAGGUGGUGAAUAUCUGCCUUUGAUGUGACACUGGGUCAACUGGAAUUCUUGAAAUGCACGAGGUACUUUUCCCGUGGCUCUAUGAAGACAGUACUAGCUGACACAAAGAAAUGAAAGGGUUACGACACAUGCAGAAACAAUGAGUCUCCUUUUGAAAUUUUACGUGGGUGAAAGGUGAAAACCAAGCUGAAUUGGGUCACUUGUUGAUUCUUCUGAUGAUGACAAGCUCGAAUAUAUAACAAUCAAGAGAAGCCAACAGCCACACUGACAUAGAUAUCAACUAACACAACCGAGUCACAGAAAAGUCAAAAAUGAUUCAGUCUUGUUCAGAAAUAGUUUCUGCAGAUAUUGGUAGCUCUAGUAAAAACUUAUAAAAAAUAAAUACAUAUUUAAUCAUGUUUGUUUAUGUUCAUCUAGCUGGUGUCUAUAUCAUCACUCAUAAUUAUCCCUUAUCGUGUAUCUUGUCUACUUAAAUACAUAAUGACUUGGAAAGCUAGUUAUAAGUUAAUGUUUGGUAAUACAAGAAGAAAUAAUGUCUUCUAGUAUAGGAAUAAGGUUUUUGAGGAAGUUAUUACAAGGUAUACAACUGA